UACGAAGGUGGCAAGCGUUACUCGGAAUUACUAGGCGUAAAGGGCAGGUAGGUGGUUUGAUAAGUCUGUUGUGUCAACUUCCGGCUUAACCGGAAGAGGUCAACAGAUACUGUCGAGCUUGAGUAUGGGAGAGGGUACUGGAAUUCCCGGUGUAGCGGUGAAAUGCGCAGAUAUCGGGAGGAACACCGAUGGCGAAAGCAGGUACCUGGACCAUUACUGACACUCAGCUGCGAAAGCUAGGGGAG
rnacentral:rRNA from 1 species